UAGCUAGUUGGUGAGGUAACGGCCCACCAAGGCGACGAUCGGUAGCCGGACUGAGAGGUUGAACGGCCACAUUGGGACUGAGACAUGGCCCAGACUCCUACGGGGGGCAGCAGUGGGGAAUAUUGCACAAUGGGGGAAACCCUGAUGCAGCGACGCCGCGUGGAGGAAGAAGGUCUUCGGAUUGUAAACUCCUGUUGUUGAGGAAGAUAAUGACGGUACUCAACAAGGAAGUGACGGCUAACUACGUGCCAGCAGCCGCGGUAAAACGUAGGUCACAAGCGUUGUCCGGAAUUACUGGGUGUAAAGGGAGCGCAGGCGGGAAGACAAGUUGGAAGUGAAAUCCAUGGGCUCAACCCAUGAACUGCUUUCAAAACUGUUUUUCUUGAGUAGUGCAGAGGUAGGCGGAAUUCCCGGUGUAGCGGUGGAAUGCGUAGAUAUCGGGAGGAACACCAGUGGCGAAGGCGGCCUACUGGGCACCAACUGACGCUGAGGCUCGAAAGUGUGGGUAGCAAACAGGAUUAGAUACCCUGGUAGUCCACACUGUAAACGAUGAUUACUAGGUGUUGGAGGAUUGACCCCUUCAGUGCCGCAGUUAACACAAUAAGUAAUCCACCUGGGGAGUACGACCGCAAGGUUGAAACUCAAAGGAAUUGACGGGGGCCCGCACAAGCAGUGGAGUAUGUGGUUUAAUUCGAUGCAACGCGAAGAACCUUACCAAGUCUUGACAUCCUGCGACGCACAUAGAAAUAUGUGUUUCCUUCGGGACGCAGAGACAGGUGGUGCAUGGUUGUCGUCAGCUCGUGUCGUGAGAUGUUGGGUUAAGUCCCGCAACGAGCGCAACCCUUAUGGUCAGUUACUACGCAAGAGGACUCUGGCCAGACUGCCGUUGACAAAACGGAGGAAGGUGGGGAUGACGUCAAAUCAUCAUGCCCUUUAUGACUUGGGCUACACACGUACUACAAUGGCGUUAAACAAAGAGAAGCAAGACCGCGAGGUGGAGCAAAACUCAGAAACAACGUCCCAGUUCGGACUGCAGGCUGCAACUCGCCUGCACGAAGUCGGAAUUGCUAGUAAUCGCAGAUCAGCAUGCUGCGGUGAAUACGUUCCCGGGCCUUGUACACACCGCCCGUCACACCAUGAGAGCCGGGGGGACCCGAAGUCGGUAGUCUAACCGCAAGGAGGACGCCGCCGAAGGUAAAACUGGUGAUUGGGGUGAAGUCGUAACAAGGUAA
rnacentral:rRNA from 1 species